rnacentral:rRNA from 1 species
UACGGGGGGGGUAAGCGUUGUUCGGAAUUACUGGGCGUAAAGGGCUCGUAGGCGGCCAACUAAGUCAGACGUGAAAUCCCUCAGCUUAACUGGGGAACUGCGUCUGAGACUGAUUGGCUCGAGGACAGGAGAGGAACGCGGAAUUCCAGGUGUAGCGGUGAAAUGCGUAGAUAUCUGGAGGAACACCGGUGGCGAAGGCGGCGUUCUGGACUGCUUCUGACACUGAAUAACGAAAGCCAGGGGAGCAAACGGG